AGGCCGAUGGCGACCGGCGCACGGGUGAGUAACACGUAUCCAACCUGCCGUCUACUCUUGGACAGCCUUCUGAAAGGAAGAUUAAUACAAGAUGGCAUCAUGAGUCCGCAUGUUCACAUGAUUAAAGGUAUUCCGGUAGACGAUGGGGAUGCGUUCCAUUAGAUAGUAGGCGGGGUAACGGCCCACCUAGUCUUCGAUGGAUAGGGGUUCUGAGAGGAAGGUCCCCCACAUUGGAACUGAGACACGGUCCAAACUCCUACGGGAGGCAGCAGUGAGGAAUAUUGGUCAAUGGACGAGAGUCUGAACCAGCCAAGUAGCGUGAAGGAUGACUGCCCUAUGGGUUGUAAACUUCUUUUAUACGGGAAUAAAGUGAGCCACGUGUGGCUUUUUGUAUGUACCGUAUGAAUAAGGAUCGGCUAACUCCGUGCCAGCAGCCGCGGUAAUACGGAGGAUCCGAGCGUUAUCCGGAUUUAUUGGGUUUAAAGGGAGCGUAGGCGGGUUGUUAAGUCAGUUGUGAAAGUUUGCGGCUCAACCGUAAAAUUGCAGUUGAUACUGGCGACCUUGAGUGCAACAGAGGUAGGCGGAAUUCGUGGUGUAGCGGUGAAAUGCUUAGAUAUCACGAAGAACUCCGAUUGCGAAGGCAGCUUACUGGAUUGUAACUGACGCUGAUGCUCGAAAGUGUGGGUAUCAAACAGGAUUAGAUACCCUGGUAGUCCACACA
rnacentral:rRNA from 1 species